rnacentral:lncRNA from 1 species
AUAACAAGCGAUUUGUGAUCAAUAAAAAGUACCACCGGAUUCUGUACCCAUCAGUCUUGGAUCCUCACCUUAGACAGUUUCAUUUGGUUAUGAAAGAAAGGCUUUAUCCAUAGCGUUAAGGUCUCUAUCAAGCACUCUUCUAAAGCUGUCUUCAAGCCCUCAUAUUCAACUCGCUGCCUCAUCCACAUAGCAUGAACUCGCUCGAAGUGCUUUCUCCUACUAUGGUGGAGUUUACCAAGAACUCUAAACGUUCGGAGCGCCGGUUCUGUUUCAGAAGAAGCAUGAUGGCAGUUUAAGGUUUUGCAUCGAUUAUAGAGCGCUGAACAAAGUGACCAUCAAGAACAAGUACCUUAUGCCUCUUAUUGCAGACCUUUUCGAUCAGUUGAGUGGAGCACGAUACUUCACGAAGUUUGAUUUGCGGUCGGGGUAUUAUCAAGUGCGUAUUGCCGAGGGUGAACAUAUUUGCCUUAUCCACAUAGCAUGAACUCGCUUGAAGUGCUUUCUCCUAGUAUGGUGGAGUUUACAAAGAACUCUAAACGUUCGGAGUGCCGGUUCUGUUUCAGAAGAAGCAUGAUGGCAGUUUAAGGUUUUGCAUUGAUUAUAGAGCGCUGAACAAAGUGACCAUCAAGAACAAGUACCUUAUGCCUCUUAUUGCAGACCUUUUCGAUCAGUUGAGUGGAGCACGAUACUUCACGAAGUUUGAUUUGCGGUCGGGGUAUUAUCAAGUGCGUAUUGCCGAGGGUGAACAUAUUUCUUUUCUCUUGUGUUGGCUUUGCAAGUUCCU